GCUGGCGGCAUGCCUAACACAUGCAAGUCGAACGCUCCUGGGGCUUCGGUCUCGGGGGAGUGGCGCACGGGUGAGUAGCGCGUGGGAACCUGCCCUGUUGUGGGGGAUAACCGAGGGAAACUUCGGCUAAUACCGCAUACGCCGGGAAACCGGGAAAGAUUUAUCGCAGCAGGAGGGGCCCGCGUCGGAUUAGCUAGUUGGUGGGGUAACGGCCACCAAGGCGAUGAUCCGUAGCUGGUCUGAGAGGAUGAUCAGCCACACUGGGACUGAGACACGGCCCAGACUCCUACGGGAGGCAGCAGUGGGGAAUAUUGGACAAUGGGCGCAAGCCUGAUCCAGCAAUGCCGCCGUGAGUGAUGAAGGCCUUAGGGUUGUAAAGCUCUUUCGCCCGCGACGAUGAUGACGGUAGCGGGAGAAGAAGCCCCGGCUAACUUCGUGCCAGCAGCCGCGGUAAUACGAA
rnacentral:rRNA from 1 species